GGGGCAGCAAGGGCGCGCUGGAGGCGGCGGCCAAGACUCCCGCCGCCGCCGCCGCCAACAGGGCGAGGGCUGCCGGCAACUCUCCCGCCGGGCCCCCGCACCCCCAGAAGCCGAGGUCCGAGCAGCCGCCGCUGCUUUGGGUGGGGGGCUGACAGGGCUGCGCGCGUCGCGCUCUUGGCUGGGGCUGCGCGGGCCCGGGGCGCUGCGGGCGGCUCAGCGGCAGCUGCCGCGCUCUGCGCCUCCUCUGGGCGCACUGCCUGGGAGCACGAGACUGGUUUGUCUGAUGCUGCUGCCGGAGCUGAGGUCUUGCCUGGAGAUCCGAACGAGACACCACGUCAACCGGCGCGGGGAGUCCCGUGAAGACAUGAGGGCGCCAGGAGCGCAGAUGAGGACAUUGAGGAUCAGAGAUGUUGAAAAACUUGCCCAAGGAUGCACAAGUGGAAUGGUGACUGUUGUCUCUUGGGCACAGGUAGCUGCCAACAGGUGAGCCUCUCAGCGGAUCCCUGAUAGAGGUAGGAUGGCAAAUAGCUUCUUUAAUAUGACAGCCUCAGUGUAGUGGCUGGCAAGGAGCUGCGAUUGGGAGGAACUGGAAGUGACACCCAAGCUCAUUGAGCAAGCAUGCUGUGAGUGCCAUGAUAAAGUGAAGAGCUCAGGAGAAAGAUUGGAUCAAUUAUAGAAAAUAAUGAAGGUACAUUUUCUUUGCAUAACUAAAUGUAGGGUAAGUACAUUUUGAAUUUGCUAAAAUUGUCUUUGCUCUGCCUCUGCACACGUGUGCACACGUGCACACACACAAAUGGCACUUCUGGGAGUUUUUCCUUGCUACCACCUCCUCUCAAUAAUCAAUGCUCACGAAAGCAUUUGUGAGAAAUGUGGAGUUUACUGUGGAGAUUCAAAGGGAAGAUGAUGGAGGUUUCACUGUAACCCCCACAACAGAUUCAUAUUCCACUUUGAUACUGUGUUCAUCAUUUCCAAUAUAUACCUUUUUCCUAGUUGAGUAUUUGAAAUCUUGGAAACCAGACUCUGUCUUGCUGUGUUGGUGUGUCAUAGUAUAAUUGGCAGCAUGUUUCCUUUGGUAGCAAUACAUAAGACAAUGGUGUGUCUUAUGUUGAUGUCUUCUUAUAUUUGAUAAAAUCUUUUAAGUCUACUGCUUUGCAGUCCUUCCUCAACUGCAAGCAGAGGCUUCCCCACUGAGGCCAUUGAGUAAAGUGGUUCAAAGUACAGUCUGGAGUCAGACCAUCACUUACUAUCUCCACCAUUCACAAGCCAGGUAACCUUGGGCAAGUUACUGAAGGGUUCAGGGGCUUUGUUUCCCUACCUGUGCAAUGGGGAUAAUAUUAUUAACUACUUCAUCGGAUUGUAGUAAGAAUUAAAUGAGUUGAUAUAUAUAGAGAAAUUGGAACAGUGUCAGGUGGUGGUGACUUCUAGAAAAGUAGUUGUUCUUAUACGUAUUACCUCUUUAGUCCCCUCCCACAUAGGCCCUGCCUCCUGUUACCUAUUGCUUUUUCUUUCCUCCCUUAUUUUAUAAAUAAUACUUCAGUGACCGCUGUUUGCUAUUUGAACACAACCUUGAGAUCUCUCCUCUCCUUCCCAAAUGGCUUACCUAAGUAUUUACUCCAAACAAAUAUGUUGUCUUUUAGAGAUACUCUGAUAAGUAAAGAUUGCUGUAUGUAGUAACAUAUUUUUAUCAUUAUUUCUGAUGCAUCUAUGGUAGAUGCAAGAGAUAGUAAGAUAUGAGCUUGACUGGAGCUGAGCUAGCUUGUUGGGGAGCAUUAGGAAAUAGGAUGGAAAAAAGAUAGGUUGGAGACAGAUGGCACUUGAAGAAUCUCCCCUUUGAAAUCUUUGGUAAAGUCUACAAUAUGAUACCUCUCCAUACAUCUCUAAGGAGGCUUUGUAUUUUGAUGACAGCCUUGAAUGCUAGGGACACCCAGCCACACGGGCUAACUCAUACAGGGCAGAGAGGACUUUCACCCUCUUUAAUUCACCGUGUAUGAGUGGCAAUGUUUCUUCCCAAAUAUAUGGCUGGCCCUAGGAGACAAGUCAGGGCAUGUGAGCUGUGGAUGUGAACUGAGAGAACAGUUGGGGCUUAGGUGAAAAGUGGAGAUUCAGGAACUCUUCAGAUAUAGUGGCCUUAGGGAAAGAUAGAUGUAUUAGGCCAUUCUUACAUUGCUAUAAAGAAAUACCUGAGACUGGGUAAUUUAUAAAGAAAAGAGGUUAUAUUGGCUCAUAGUUCUGCAGGCUAUACAGGAGGCAUAGUGCUGGCAUCUGCUCAGCUUCUGGUGAAACCUCAGGUAGCUUUUAAUCGUGGCAGAACGGGAAGCGGGAACAGGCAUGCCACAAGUUGAAAGCAGGAGCAAGCGAGAGAGAUUGGGGAUGGUGGUGGGGGGUGUUACAGACUUUUAAAUGAGCAGGUCUCAUAACAACUCACUCACUAUUGUGAAGAUGGCACCAAGCCAUGAGGGAUCUGCCCCCAUGAUCCAAACACCUCCCACCAGGCCCCUCCUCCAGCAUUAGGGAUUACGAUUCAACAUGAGAUCUGGGUGGGGACAAAUAUCCAAACUAUAUUACUAGGCAGUAACAAAGAGACACCCGGCCCUUCUGGGUUCAAGGUGUGCCACAGGCCUGCAUGUCCUCCUAAGCUUUUCUUAGGUGGUGCCAGAGUUUGAAUGGCUGCAGUCCUGGCAUAUUCCUCAGUGAGGCUGGAAAAAAUAAUCCACUCCUGCAAAUGGAAAAUUUCUUCUGUGUAGGGUGAGCACUUCCAGCUCCAGAAAUGAAACAUGCUAAAGGCAGCGUGUGACUUGGCAUGGGGUGACCAGUAACCCAACUGAUCGGUCCUCUAACCUGUUAGUUCAUUUUGCUGGUGAUCUUGUCCAUAAGGGCAAACAACUUUCUAGCUGGUCACCUUUGGAACAAAGUAAGAGUUUUUGAAAGAGGAUUUAAAAAAAUUCUUUUUUGGUUUGUUUUGGGUUUAAUGAGUCAAUGCUUUAUUUUACUAUGAGUGUUUAUAACCAGACCUAAAUGUAUGUAGGAUCUUGAACCUCCCCCACAACUAUUUCCUAUUUGUUCCCAGAAAAAUUCCAAUGCCAGAUUUUGCCAUAGCAACCAGAGGCAAAUAUCAAGACAGCAAUAAAGAGCAAGCUGGAAAAGGGUUUCCCUACAAUGUGGCUUGAGUUUCUGUAGGGCAUUCCAUCCUCCGUGUGGAGCUCUGGAAGGCAAGAGGGGGCCCUGCGGUUCCUCGUGGGGGGGUCUGGUAGAGUCCAGAUUUGCCAGCAUCCAGGACCCACUAGGAAAUGUGUCUGUCAGGCAGCUGGGCUGGAGCGGAAGGAUCAGCUUGCCUGCUCCUCGGGCUUGGCACCUGUUGUGUGUUGAUCUUUAUUUUUGUACGUCAAUUUUUCAAAAUUAAAGGUAUUGAAUUAUUAUUUUUCCAUUAUGCUUUUCCUCUGAGCAGUUUAGUAAACAAGCCUGUUCUGUAUUUCCUAAUUGUCCCCUCAAGUGCUCUUUGGAAGAAGGCAGUGCAUAUUUAAAAGUAAGCAAAUGAAACCAAAGAACAGGAGAUUCUUCCAAUAUCUGCCCACGAUGUCCCUCAUUCUGUGUCCUUCCUUUUUGUCAUGGUUGUUAGGUAAUGUUAGGAAGUCCCACUUCUUUCCCAUAGGUAAAGUCAUCUCACUACAGUAUAGCCUUCUUGCUGAAAGAACUUUGGGCUUCCGAGUUACUUCAGGUGCUGGUUUGGAUUAGCGGUGUGUUGAUAAAUGUUUAACAACUCGCUCGCAGACAUAAAAUUGCCUUGAUUUGUAGAGCUGAUUUGCUGAUUUCUGUGGUGUAAAUCCUCCCACCAUGGCAGAUUUCAUCUUACCAGAGUGACCUCAUGAACAUGGAACUGGAAAGAGAUGCACACAUUUAACUCUCAUGCACUGGUAAGAGCUGGCUGCCCCACACUGCUGGUUCUACCGAUCUAGGCCUGGGUUUCUCAACCUCAGCACUAUUGACAUUUUGGGCAGAAUGGCUGUUGGUUAUUGGUGGCUGUCCUGUGCAUUGUAGGAUGUUUAGCAGCACCUGUGGUUUCUACUCACUAGAUGCCAGGAGCAACCCUUCCCCACUAAGUUGCAACAACCAAAAAUGUCUCCAGAUUUUGCCAGAUGUCUCCUGAGGGGCAAAAUCUCCCUUAGUUCUGGGCUAUUCUGCACUGAUAGUGCUUAGAAGGUCCAUUCAGCAGGCAGUAGGCCUGCACUGUUAGCUUUUCCAUGAACCACUCUGAAUAUGCACCCAAAGAAGUUCUCUCUUGGCAUUUUGGAUGUGGUGCAUUAGUCUGUUCUCAUGCUGCUAAUAAAGGCAUACCCGAGACUGGGUAAUUUAUAAAGGAAAGAGGUUUAAUGGACUCACAGUUCCAGAUGGCUGGGGAGGUCUCAUGAUCAUGGCAGAAUAUGAAGGAAGAGCAAAGAGAUGUUUUACAUGGCAGCAGGCAACAGAGCCUGUGCAGGAGAACUCCCCUUUAUAAAAUCAUCAGAUCUCAUGAGACUUAUUCACUAUCAUGAGAGCAACAUGGGAAAGUCCUGCCCCCAUGAUUCAGUCACCUCCCACCGGGUCCCUCCCACGACAUGUAGGAAUUAUGGGAGCUACAAUUCAAGAUGAGAUUUGGGUGGGGAUACAGCCAAACCAUAACAUGUGGUAUUGCAAAACACUGAAAGUGUGCUUCCUUGGGUAGUCUUGAGAAGAGUCAUGCUGUAAGGACUUAAGGCACCAAAAAAUUAAGACACAGCAGGGCCAGUAGGAGAGCAUCAGGGUAAUUCCACUAUAGGAUAUAUCCUAUAUCCAUUAUAGGAUAGUUUUGACAGACUGCAGAGGUCCCUUAGGCAAACCUUUCCUUUGUAUGGGUGAGAAAUUAGACUCAGGGACAAGGUGUGACUUGUCCAAGGGCAAGGUGUGGAUGUGCUUGGACAGUCACAGGGGUGUUGUGGUGAAUGCUGUGAGACGCCUGUGUGACAUACUGGGAAUUAGAACUGACUCCAACUUGUAGCUAAAUGUGUUUUGCGGGCUUUUCAAUGUUGGGUUUGGAUGGAUAUAUUCUGACAUCUCCCUGUCCCCUACCUCUCUGUCCCUUUGGAAAUAUCUGCUUAUGAAAACCAUAUUAUAAUGAGGGAUUUCUGUUUCAGAUAGAAUUAUUCCCUUCAGCUUCAGGAGUGAGUUGAUUAUUCACAUGUUCUUUUUAGGGGGUUUAAGCUGCUAGUCCUUAAAGAAUAGAUGCUGAAGGUUGUCAUUGAUUCCUCUUUCCUUCCUCCCACGUCUGCUCUGGGCCUUCUCAUUGAUGUAGUAUCUUAGGUUACUUCCAAAAUAAUUUGAGAAAUGGAUUUAUAGAAGAAGCUAGCUUUCCAGUAGAAAAGUUUAGAUGACAAGAUUAAUGUGAUAAGAACUAAGAAAGCCCUUCCUAGUUUUCAUUGAAAAUGUGUUUUUAAUGCCCAGAGGUGCCCAGUCAAAAAGGAAAUAUUACAGAAGGAUUAUUUUCAUCAGCAGAGUUCUUGGGCAUUGCAAGUUCCAGUGUAAUUAGGGAAAUCACAUGCGAGUACAUCAAUACACUUCAGAUGCCAAUACAUUGGGCUUAAUGAGGACAACAAGCCUGCUUUUAUUAGGGGAUUGAAUAAAAGUGAAAGGAGUUCUUGAAAAGAAUUGGUAAUUUUGGAUGGGAUAAUUCAUCACUUCACUCCAGAUCAGUUUUUCACAGUAAGAAGUGCUGGCUCUUCAGAAAAUUUGGCAUAACCAAAGUUUAUUGUCACUAUCUCCUCCUUCUCACAUUGUCCUUUGUCGCACCCCCAGCAGGUCCACAGUGAUCCUGCGGGCCACCCCCAUGGACCCUGCCCGUUUUCUUCCAUCGGGGGCUAUCUUACGUCAGUCUUUCAAGGUCUCCUCAGUAAUGCAGGCCAGUUGGAUUUUUGCUUUCUUUUCCCAGAGGACAAUUCAGCCUCAGCGUCUUAGUCUAAAAGGAUUCAUGCAAGCGUGUCAGAUGUUUUAUUAGGCUAAGGGGGAGGUAUUUUGGGUUGUGGGGAGCACUUACUGCAACCCUGUAUGAAAUUCCCUACUCAGUGAUGUUCAGGCUGCACGGGCCAACAUGGAAAGGGCUUAAGGGAGAUGACAAAAACAAAAUCUCUUCUUCCACAAAGAUUUUCAGUUGAUCAAUUUUGUUACUUUUUUGUGAUGAAACUAUCUGCACUGCAGCUAAUGAUUUUUUUCUGAAGGUGGAAAAGGUAGGAGCAACAGCUUUCAGUUCUAAGGAUACAUUCUGUUGACCUUCAUAAGCCCUAGGAACUAGAGGGGCAAGAUUGAGGAGGAAAUAGAGAAAAUAAUUUGCUCUAUAGUAUUUUCCCCCUGAGCUGCCAUCUGGGGCUUUCAGAGCUUAGCACUGCACUCUUGCAAUGUUGCACACACCACAGGAGCAAUAUCAAGAGAUGUCAAACAUGAGUGGUAUUGGUCACUGGAAACAGCAGAUUCCAAAUAGCUGUCUCACCAGACUAUUCUUUCAGAAGAUUCAUUUGUGCCAACUACUUCUUUGUCAUGGAUCCUUCCUGGUUCUGCAACACAGAUGUGGAAAGUGAAGAGAACACGUCAUGGAAUUCCAUUUCUAAGAGUGGAAAAUAUACAAUUUACCAUGGGAUGUUUAAGAUAUUAAUAUAUUGUUCACCAUGUGUAUCCAGAGCUUUAGUAGAAGUAGGUUAAAAGAGCCGUGCAUGUAUACACGGUGCUCCUCAUUGUCAAACGCUGAAGCCUGUUACAGGCUGGGUUUGGGGGCUGGGGGUACUUACGGGACAAAGUCUGACUCUCGGUCUGUAGGCUGAGUGCCUUCUUAGUGUGUUGGGACUCAGCAUGUAUUCACCCCAUCUGUACUCACAAGCCUAAUUCAUUAAUCAGGAUGACUUACUGGGCUGUGAGCCCUUUGAGGACAGGACCUUGUACCUUUAUCUUGUGCCUCUCAUGCCUAGCAUAGCACCAGGCAUGUAACACGUUCUUUUUAAAAAAGUGUUUUACAGCUUUAUCAAGGCAUACAUGAUGUCAGAUCAACUGCAUGUGUUUAAAGUUUUACACUUGAUGAGUUUUGAUAUAUGUCUAUACCCGUGAAACCAUCACUGCAAUCAAGAUAAUAAACGCAUUCAUCCACCCUAAAGUUUCUCGUGUCCCUUUGCAAGCCACCCCCCUUCCUCCCAUUGUUCCCAGACAACCACUAUUCUGCUUUCUGUCACUGCAGAUGAGUUUGUGUUUUCUGGAAUUUUAUAUAAGUGGAAUCAUACAACAUGUACUCUGUUUUUCUGGCUGUUUUCACUCAGCAUAAUUUUCUCAAGAUUCAUUGAAGUUUUAUAUAUUAAUAGUUUGCUACAUUUCAUUGCUGAAUAGUAUUCCAUUGUAUAAAUCAUAAUAGGCACCUAACAAGUGUUUGUGGCUUUACACUGACUUGAAAAUUAAUUUUUAAGAAUAUAAUUGGGCAAAAAGUGGACAAUGGGAUACCACUCUAUUCUUGGUGAGUGGGUUCACUCAGGAAGUGGAAAUAAGAAUCAGGAGAUAAUUUGGCAUGGUAGAGACUUUUGUUGUCAUCCAAUAUCUAUUUUUCCUUCUUUCUUAGUACUGGAAUACCUGAGUUUUGGCUGGGCACAGAACUGUCUGGAAUACAGACUGCAAUUCCCAGCCUUCUGUGCAGUUCUGUGUGGCCAUGUGACUAAGUUGUGGUCAAUAUGAGUCACGGAAGAAUAGAAGAACAACUCAGAGGAGGAAGAAGUCAGACAUAGCCAGACACGGCUGCUAGCAGUUCCACCAAUGAAAGAGGAGACCAGGAUGUUUAAAACAGGCAAACACAAGGUGCGAAAAACCAGAAGCGAAAACUUCUGAGGUCAUUUAAGCAAGGACUAUCGUUAUCCCCGGAAGCAGAGAGAAGUUCCCUUUGCCCAACAUCACACUGCAAGCACGUGUUGGAGCUGAGAUUCAAACCCAGGCAUCCAGGGUCCAGGGCCCAUGCUUUUAAUAUAUUCCAUAUCUUAGGAGAAUUUCCCCUAUUUAAACAAUAAAAGUGCAAAAAUCUUGUGGCUAGCCAAAAUUUUCAGUUGUUUGGAAAACUUAUUUAUCCAAUAAGUGGAAAACUCACUUGUCCUCCAACAAUUCUGGAUAAAUGAAAGAACGAAUUGAACUGAGACUGGAAUCCGGGUCUCCCAGUACUUUGUAGUUCCUAUCCAUAUGGCUUGUCAGGAAGGCCACAGGGAGGUUAACUAACUCUGCGUAACCAGAAACAAUCCCACAUCAGACUGUUGGCAGUGGGAGUGGAACACUCAGAGCUGAACCGCAUGCAAGAUGGUUGCAUUUUCAUUUGCAAUGUCGUCAUCUUCCUCAUGGCUAAAGAGGUAUUUUGGAGUUGACAUGAAGGCUACUGUAAUUUUUAGAGGCAUUUUCUUUCUGGCCUGUAUUUACAUAUUGUGGUAGAAGAGUCAGAAGACUUCAAGCUUCAAAAGUGAAUCUUGUUGCGAGUUACAAAAGCACCACCCGGUGGGGUGCAGCUCUCAGCAUGUGUCACCACAGGCACUGUGAUUUCCCUGUCUUCAUCCAACUUUGGUUGCUGUUCUUCAUGCUCAGGAAUUCUGCAACUGCUGUAGCUUUUGCUGUUGUUAUGUCUGUAGGUAUGGACUCAUUUCUACCAUUCUGGAAUGAAACAUUAUUUCAAGGGAAGCUUCUCAUUGUAAAAGGUCCACACAUUCAGAAGGAAACUGGGAGUACAUUUUCUCAUAGGCCUGGAGCAUUAACUGACUAUGCAUCUUUCCCCUCAGUGUUGUCAUCAUGUUGUAAGGGGAUGAGUCAUGGACAACAUUUUCACACACAUACGUGAGGUCCAUUGACCAGUCUUUAGGACAACUAGAAAUCUUUUCUUUCUUUGUUUUAAAAAGGAAGACAAGUCAAGAUACAGCAAAUAAAAAUGCUCAGCACAUUUGCUGAAAUCUUAGCAAAAUCAAAUUACUAGUAAUUUGUUAAUCACACUAUACCUGUUUUGAGCCAAUCCUACUUAACCCACCCUCCAUCUUCCUCAUGCUUGCCUCCCUGGUGAACUCCUAUUUAUGUUACAAAGCUCAGUGUUUAUGUUACUACUUUUGUGCUAUUUCUGAACGUUAAAUGUACCUCUAUUAUAGAACAUAUCUCAUGGAAUAGUUAUUAUUGCAUAUCCACUGCCCUUGUUAGGCUGUGAGUGAGCUUUCUUUCUUUCUUUUUCUUUCCUUCCCUCCUUCCUUCCCUACUUCCUCCCUCCCUCCCUCUCUCCCUCCCUCCCUCUCUCCCUCCCUCCCUUCCUUCCUUUGCUCCUUCUCUCUUUCUCUCUUUUUCAUUUCUUUUCUUUUUUUUUAAAUUUGAGACAGGGUGUCACAAAUAUGAAUGGGACCUGUGAAUAUGAUGGCUGUCACUCUCUGAUUAGAUUACAUUAUAUGGCUAAGGUGAAGGAAUUCUGCAGAUGUAAUUAAGGUCCCAGAUGAGUUGAUAUUGAGUUACUCACAAAGGAGAUUAUACUGGAUGGCCCUACCUUAAUCAGGGAAAAGCCCUUAAAAGAGGACUGGGCCUUUCCUGAAGGAGGACAGUCCACUGCUGGCUUUGAAGCAGUAAGCAGCUGUGUUUUAAGGGGGCCUAUGGAGGGGCCCAUGUGGCAAGGUCCUGAGGGUGGCCUCUAGGAGUUGGCAGCAGUUCCCAGCCACUGGCUAGCAAGAAAACAGGUGGUUCAGCCACAUAGCCACAAGGAAAUGAAUUCUACCAACAAUCCAAAUGAGCUUGGAAGUGGAUAUUUUCCAUGGUCAAGCCUCCAGACGAACACCUUAACUGUAACAUAUGAACAGCUGAGCAGAGGACCUGCUUCAGCCAUGCCUGGACUCCUGACUUGUGGAAACUGAGAUAACAAAUGUAUAUUAUUUUAAGCUGGUAAGGUUGUGGUAAUUUGUUAUGCAACAAUGCCGAAUACAGUAGGCAUCUUAAAUGUUUGUUGAACUUAAUUUAAUCAGGGAAAUAUAAUAUUUAAAAGGAAUCUUUUCUAAAGUUUUAGCCAAUUUAAUGAAUGUAGAUAUCUUAAAGAAUUGCCAUCUUCCUUUGGAUCUUCUAGCCAUGCAAUCGACUUCACAAACUUCCAAGUUUUCAUAAAUACCAGCUUCUGAUUGUCUGGAAACAGGAAGUGAGAUUCUCUCCAGCCAUCAUUUGGCAUUCUUGGGAGAUAGAAUGGAUAAAAAUUGAUGUUGAAAUGAGACCACCAUCAUUUUUCAGUCUGCUCACCACGUACAGAGCUCAGGAUGAUUAGAAAAUGUAAAACACAUGUGAGUGGCUCAAACCCCUUUAGUUAAAUCACAUUUACAUAGAUCAGUUUUCCCAAGGGAUAUAAGUUAGCUGAACUUAAGCAAUUAAAAAAAAUAAAACUAAACUAAAACCUUUUGCUAAAGCCAAAAAACAUGGAUGAGUUAAACUGUAUCAGAUGGAAUGGUUUGUUUUGAAAAGUGUUUGGUUUGUUGUCUAUAUACGUGCGUGCUUUUUUAAAAGGCAGAUAGAAAAGCAGAACUUACAAGACCUUUAGCUGCUGAGGUGGAAAGCCAGUAUUACUUCUACCACAGCAGUUGAUAUCAUCGGUCUCACCAGCAGGUCACGGAUUUGUUGCUUGCUCCCUGUGACAAUCUUGAACCAUUGUAGGGACCUUGGCAUAUAGAGGGACGGUGAACAGGGCUGAAAACAAAAUUGAACUCAAUCUUGAGCUUGGUAUUCCACCGAGAGCAGGUUUUCUGGGCUUUGAAAUACCGCCUCAGAGAGACCUUCCUUGAUAUUCUGCCAUGUUGAGAACAAGAACAAACUUUUUGGCCCUGGAACCUCUUCCCUCCCAGUGCCAACAUGUUCAAUUUCAUUUGCCCUUGGCUAAAUGUAGCUUCCUGUUUCUAAGAAAAGAAGCAGAAAGGGGCUUUUGAAGGCCUCACAGACAGUCUCAGAAGGCUUCAUGGGCAGCAGACAACUCUUAGCAAACAACAAUUUGAUGAGUUAAGUGUAAACGGCUCAGAGACAUAUGGAUUACAUUUUUUGGGAAAUACACAUGGGCUUACAAUGUAAAACUGGGUAGUGUGGGGUGGGGUGGAGAAGGGAAUGCUUGGAAAAGUGUGGUUUGGGUCUUGCUAAUUGCAAAAUAUUUGAAACAAAUAAUUUGAGAUGUUUUGCUCAACGUACAGCGCGGUUGGAUUUGCCCUUUCCAUCUAUUUACGUGUCAUUUUCAGAUUCGGCUCACAUACCAAUACUGGUUUGGGUCUUGAGUUGAUUUUUAAAAAUGCAGUUAUUUUGAAAGGUCAUGCCAUGUGAUUUCUGUGUAGCCUCUGAGCAUAAAGGGUGGGGUGGUAUAGGGGAAGAACUGGGCAUUUAGAAACCUCUCUGCCUGUAGGUCAAACUGCUGCUCAGCUCUUCUGGUAUAUUCUACUUAUGGAGGUUCCAAAUCCAGGCUGUGUUAGUAAGAUGCAGCAGCCUCAGUCUCCCCACCUGUAAAAUGGGGACAGUAAUACUUAUCCCAGAACCCAUGGCGAUUGGGAUGCUGUGUGGUGUGGAGUUAAAGUGUGGACCCUGGAGGCAUAUACCUGUGCAUAUCCCAGCUCUGCUGCUGAUGUGAGCUUGGGCAAGUUCUUCAGCUUCCCUGGGCUUUUGUUUCUUCAUCUGUGUAAUGAGGAAUAUCUUAGCAUCCACCACAUAGGGUUACCUUGAGAAUUAAAAGAUUUAACCCAGUCCCCGGCACACAAUAAGUGUUCAGCAAAUGCUAACAGUGGCUCUUGUUGUUUAUAAUUUAUCUUGUUCUAUUAAGUAUAUGAAUACAGUAGAUAAUAAGGCAAAUUCACCUCCAGGCUGGGGAGAGGAAUAGCCCCUUACCAAACAGUGAGGGUCUCCUUCAGCUUACCUUCUUUUUCUUAUUGUUUCAACCUAUGGAUUAAUUACCUAGUUUUGUGACCCCAAAAUAAAAGGGUAGAUUCCUUGAUCUAAAAUUAGACUCAUCUUUUCCCUAUCCUAGGAAGGAUCCGUUUCUCUCUUCUAUUUUACCACUGUCUAGCACCUGGAGACACUUGGUUUAAGAGCCCAGCUAGUUUAUACUAGAGUGUGAGGGAAUUCUGAGGGCUCAGGUGGAAGGAAAGCAUGAUUCCAGAGUGUUGUUGGGUUAAUGCAUUGCUUCUCAACCCUUCCUGCACAUUAGAAUGAAUUGAGAAGCAUUUCAAAAAUAAUAGAAAUGUUAGUGUGGGGCUUCGGUAUUAGUACAUUUUUUAACUCCCCAGCUGCUUCUAUUGCGCAGCCAGGACUGAGAACCACCCUGGCUAAGGCAUUCAGUGGCAUUGUAGGUGCUUCCCUGGGUCGUUUCUGACUCGCCCCUUUUAACUCACUGGCCCCUCGGACUCUGAUUUCUGCCCUUCAUGCAGUGGGAGAGCUUUCCUCUGGGGCUUGCCUUGAGGUCUGCAGGAGCAAGGCCACUUCCUCUCUGAAUCCUAGACACAGGCUUUGGGUCAGUACUCCCACCCACGUGGAGCCCCCUUCUGCCCCUCUGCUCUGGGGGAUCUUGUCUGAAUCCAUCCCUUCUUUGCCUGCCUUAUGCCUUCUAGCUACUAUUCCUCUGCCCUUCCUUUCUUGAUCAGCACAAUUCUGCUGCUUUAAGUCCUUUUUUCCAUUAACCAUUGACUGCCCUUUGCUCUGUCAAACAUAGUUUUGGAGGCUGUGUAGUGUAGUGAAAGAACAGGGAAUUUGAGGUUGGACCUGGGUUUAACUCUCUCCUUGAUUGCUGACAAGUUACUUAACCUCUACUCAUUUGUAAACUAGGAAUAAUCUGACCUGGAUGAGACUGCUGUGAAGAUGAAAAGAGGUAAAGGAGGGGUGAUGGUGUGGUAGUGGUGGCCUGGUGAGAAUGACGGUGGUGGAGUGAUGGUGAUAAUGAGAAUGAUGAUAAUGGUAAUGGCGGUGUUGCGGUGAGGGUGUUGAUGUGGUGGUAGUGCUGAUUUUCGUGGCAGGUGAUGGCUAUAGUGAUAGGGGUGGUGGUGAUGAUGGUGGUGGUAGUUGUAAUGGUGACUGUGAUGGUGGUGUUGAUGAUACUGGUGAUAGCAGUAAUGGUAGUGAUGAUGGUAAUGAUGGUGUUAAUGAUGGUGGUUUGAUGGUGGUGAACAUGACAGUGGAGGUGGUUGUAGUAAUGAUGAUAAUGAUUUGGUGGUGGUGGUAGUUGUGGUGGUGGUGGUGAUGGUGGCAGUGGUUUAGUGGUAAAAGUUCAGUCAAGAAAGAAGAAAGCUGGAGGAACCAACAGUAUUCUGAUCAGAGGAACCACAUGGGAAGCAUUGACAGAGGGUCUUUGCAUUUGCUAAGGCCAUGGGAGUAGCUGGUUGUAUCAGUUAGCAUUUGAUCAGGAAAUCAGAGCUACUCUGUAUGACACGGAAUAAGGGAUUAAUCAUAGGGAUUAAACUUACCCAUUAUGAAAACUAGUAAAAAAGUCUAGGCAAGGCUGUUGCCUCUGUAUCUGGUGUUGGGCUUGACGUUUCUUUGGGUCAGCAGGGCUUACAGAUGGGACAGAAAGUGGAUGGAAAGGGGAGAGCAAGAACAAACUGGACCAUGUCUCUGACUCUCACCACCUGCAGUGGUAACACAGUGACCUGCAGGAAAAGCCAAUGCCUCUCAUCUCAGGCCUGGACAUGCACCUGGGUCAGGACUCUGGGCUGGAGGAGACCCAGGGAGCCGGAGGUACUGGAGCCCUGCUCCAUCAAGGUGAGGCAGCAGGUCUGAGAUAUAUGUGAGCUGCUGCUGCGCCGGGUCCCUAAUUAAACCUCCUGAGUGGAAUGGCUACUGCUUCCCUUCUGCCUUCCAAUCUUCUCACAGAUUUCUCUUGUUGCCAGCUUUAAUCUGGAACCAUAGAGGAAGGAACUUUGGGAAAUGUGGUUCCUGCUUAGUUCUGGUGGCACAGCACAAGUCACUGCCGAGGGGUCCCCAUGUGGAUUGGAUGGGUUAAAAGCUUCAGCACCUGUAGUGGCCUGUGCAGUCUACUUGCUCUGACAUUUCAAGCCUGGAGAGGCAAGGGGGACAAGAGCUGAGCUGAGGGCCAUGCCAGGGAACUGGACAAGGAAGGCCUUGGCACUCUCAAGUCAGGGAAUAGCCUCGCCAUUUCAUCUCAUCCCCAGAUGCUGGAGUGCGUUGGUCUCCCUUCUAACCUCUAACCACUGAAAGGGACCCUCUGUACAACCAAUCCUUGACUUUGGAAUCAUGGGCUGAGUAAGGCUGAAACAUUUAGCCGUCUUUGGGACCCCAGUAUUUCCCUAGUCUCACUCUAGUGUCUCUUGAAGUGGCUGUCUUUCAAGGUGUUGACCCUACUCCCUGUUUCUAACAUCUGCCUGCUACAUAAUCCAGCUGGACUUCUCAGGUAUCCCUGGUGGCUGAACUCCUUAGACCAGGGAGCUCCCCUAGUGCCUCUAGUGCUGACAAAGUGCCACUUUGCAACAGUUUCUGCCCUUUUCCCGGUUCUCUGGCUUCUAAAGCCUUCAUUUAUCCACAGAUAGAAAUACAAUCAAUCCCAUCCUUACUCUUUCUUUUGACAAUUUUCUUCAUCAGAUAUACACUUAGAAUUUAACUCAACUGUGUUCUCUCCUAUUUUGUCGGUCACUGCUGUAACUUACAUGGAAUCAUGGUUGGGUGGCAGGGACUGAAGUAGUUAGUUCUCACUUAUUUACUGUGAAAUGAAUAGUUUGAGAUUCGGUCAGUAGUCAGAAUGGUAUUCUUCACUUCCUCCUUUUCUUUAUUUACUAUGCUACCUGGUUUGUGAACAUUUUCUCCAGCUGCAAGCAAUUUACACAAACUGUAAACUCUUUAUCCAUUAUAAUCCCUGUAACUAUGCCUAGAGACUGGAAAAUGACCAGUUGUCAUUACAUUCGGAAAAGCAUAGAAAGGAUCUCCUUACUUGUGGCCCUACACCUGGUACUUUUCAGAUAGUAGAUGAGUUAUUAGGAUGAUUUGCACCUCAGUUUUCUUAUCUGUAAAAUGGGAGGGUUGCCUUGCAUUUCAUGCUGUGUUCUUUGAUGCCCUGGGGGAUUGCCGGAUUGCCAGAGGACUCAUUGGGAAUUUGGGGAUGGGGAAGAGCAUGUGUCUAGAGGGCCUUCAUCCCUCAUUCAACUAGCAAAAAGCCACUUAUUCUGUGUUAUAUAUUUGGUUUCUAUGAGAGAUUGGAUUAUUGGUCAGCAAUAAAAAUCACUCCCUUCCUUCUUCCUCUUGGAGCAGACCGUAACUCCCCUGUUCUACUGACUUUGGGCUUGGCUAUAUGACUAACUUUGGCCAAUGAAAUGUGGGAGGAUGUGAUGUGAAUAGAGGCUUUAAAUGUACUUGCAUGGUUUGGCUUACCUCUUGUACUCUUCUGUUUGCUGUGAGAAUAUGCUGCAGGGAGCCACUGGUCCAAGGAGAAGAAGAGGGGUGUAGAACAGACCUAAACCCAACCUGUAGCCUGAAACAGAGCCGAGUCCAGCCUAGAUCCACUUAUAGUCAACCUGUUGAUCUGUUAGCACAAAAACACAUGCUGCCAUAAGCUGUUGUGUUUUGUUACACAGCUAUAGCUGUCUAAUUCAGCUUACAAAUAAGUUUUGUCCAUAAUCAUAUUUUUUGGUUUAAAAAAGUUUGAAAACCACUGGGUUUGCUGAGUUUUCAGCUUUCCCAUCCACUUCUACUGUCCUGUUUCUUUCUCUUUGUGUAUUUAGGAAAGAGAGGGAGAAAGAAAGGGUUUUGGAAACAACACAGUCUGGUAGAAAGAAAGAAAGGAUAAUUUUUUUCUUUUGAGGAAAGAGGGACUUAGGGAGCUGGGAGGAGAGAUAGGCACAUUCAUAGUUAAAGUAUGUUUUGUUUCUUUUUUGAACCCUCAAGUAAACAUUUCUCCACUGACAUUGUUUUGCACUGUUACAUUAUUUUGUUCACUUUAGUGUUCCAUUUGUACAACCUCUGAAAUUCCAGGAAGAAGGUGAAAGAAUAACAUUGCACAUAGCCCUGGGUUGUGCUGUGUUUACUUCAUGAUGGACCGUUCACUUGGGCUUAACCUUAAACUGACCUUUCUGAUUCCAGACGAGACAGCAAAGCUUUGCUCACAGAUUCAAAAUCAGGGAACAGAAACAGCUGACUUCCCUGGCCAAGGAUGUUUUCCAUUCUCAUUAUUUUUGUCCGUGGUCACAAAUGAGAUGCUAGGGAAGUAAUUUUUAGGAAUUCCUGGAGUACUUUACUUCUGAUGUGCAUGCACAGAUACCCUGGGGUCUUAUGCAAUUGGUACCCCACCCCAAAGUCUGGAUAUAUUCGUUGUAGGAUGAAGAGAGGGAGGAAGGAAGGAGGACUGAGGAAGGUCUUAGGCUAUUUUCAAGCUCUUUUUUGCUCCGCACUUUGCAACAUGGUUUUAUUUUAUUCUUAUAAGUUUUGAGAUCAUCUCAAAUAUAAAUACAAAACCAUUGAUCAAAGGCCAAGAAUAAGAAAUAUUUAGAUGCCCUCUAUUGCAGUGAAAAAGCAAAUGGUUGCUAUAUCAUGCGUAAAGGUAAUCUCUUCAAGGAUUAGCACUUUAGGUCAGAUCAUGGAAGCCUGGUUUUGUUUCUCAGAAAGAGUGUCUUUCUGGGGCUUGGGAGGCCAACACGAGGCAGGCUGAGCUUUGUCUAUGGCAGGAGCUGAGUUUGAGUCUAUCUCUGCCAUUAGCCUGUGCUCAGGUUGUGUCCCUACACUGAUGGCCAUCAGAAUUUGGGUAUCAAGUGAUUCGCUUGCUUGUACUAGAUUGAGCUCCUUUGAGGACAACAGGAGCCAUUAAUAUUUUAGAGCCAGA
rnacentral:lncRNA from 1 species